rnacentral:rRNA from 1 species
GGUGAACGCUGGCGGCGUGCUUAAGACAUGCAAGUCGAACGGCAGUCUUCGGACUGUAGUGGCGCACGGGUGAGUAACGCGUAACUGACCUACCCCAAAGUCGCGGAUAACGAUUCGAAAGAAUCGCUAAUACGUGAUGUGCUGUCAGAUUGUGUUCUGCCAGUAAAGAUUGAUUGCUUUGGGAUGGGGUUGCGUUCCAUCAGCUAGUUGGUGGGGUAAGGGCCCACCAAGGCGACGACGGAUAGCCGGCCUGAGAGGGUGGCCGGCCACAGGGGCACUGAGACACGGGUCCCACUCCUACGGGAGGCAGCAGUUAGGAAUCUUCCACAAUGGGCGAAAGCCUGAUGGAGCGACGCCGCGUGAGGGAUGAAGGUCUUCGGAUCGUAAACCUCUGAAUCAGGGACGAAAGACACUUCGGUGGGAUGACGGUACCUGAGUAAUAGCACCGGCUAACUCCGUGCCAGCAGCCGCAGUAAGAC